rnacentral:rRNA from 1 species
AGAGGGUGCAAACGUUGCUCGGGAUUUACUGGGGCGUAAAGCGCGUGUAGGCGGACUCGCAAGUCGGUUGUGAAAUCCCUGGGGCUCAACCUAGGAACUGCAUCCGAAACUGCUUGUCUUGAGUAAUGGAGAGGGUGGCGGAAUUCCCGGUGUAGAGGUGAAAUUCGUAGAUAUCGGGAGGAACAUCAGUGGCGAAGGCGGCCACCUGGACAUUUACUGACGCUGAGACGCGAAAGCGUGGGGAGCAAACAGGAUUAGAUACCCUGGUAGUCCACGCCGUAAACGAUGAGAACUAGGUGCAGCGGAUAUUGACCUCUGCUGUGCCGUAGCUAACGCGUUAAGUUCUCCGCCUGGGGAGUACGGCCGCAAGGCUA